rnacentral:misc_RNA from 1 species
UCCGCUUUACAGCGGCAGUUUGUUCCGAGUCCCCGACUUUACUCGCUGGUAACAGAACAUGAGGGUUGCGCUCGUUGCGGGACUUAACCCAACAUUUCACAACACGAGCUGACGACAGCCAUGCACCACCUGUGCACCACCCUCGAAGGCGGCGCUAUUUCUAACGCUUGCAGGUGCAUGUCAAGCCCUGGUAAGGUUCUUCGCGUUGCAUCGAAUUAAGCCACAUGCUCCACCGCUUGUGCGGGCCCCCGCCAAUUCCUUUGAGUUUUAAUCUUGCGAUCGUAGUUCCCAGGCGGUUCACUUAAUGCGUUAGCUGCGGCACCGAGGUGAAACCCCGACACCUAGUGAACAUCGUUUAUGGCCAAGACUAC